rnacentral:sRNA from 19 species
AAAAACCGGCGUGCAAAACGCCGGCCGUGACAACCAAACAGCCAUGAAUCGCCGGGCAGGAGCGGCGCAGGCGACGCAUGUGCGUCCGAAGAACCUGAGGCUAAGGUAAAAAGUUUAAGAACCUGCAGUCAAUGCCAAGCGAUUCUACCAGCGUUUAAUGAUCCGUCAAUGCUAAAGACUUCUGUUUCAAUUACUUACAGU